UGGGGGAUAUUGCGCAAUGGGCGAAAGCCUGACGCAGCGACGCCGCGUGGGUGAUGAAGGCCUUCGGGUCGUAAAGCCCUGUCGAGGGGAACGAAACGGUCUCGACCUAACAACGUCGAGUCCCUGACGGUACCCCUAAAGGAAGCACCGGCUAACUCCGUGCCAGCAGCCGCGGUAAUACGGAGGGUGCGAGCGUUGUUCGGAAUCACUGGGCGUAAAGGGCGUGUAGGCGGUCCGCUAAGUCUGAUGUGAAAGCCCGGGGCUCACCCCCGGAAGGGCAUUGGAAACUGGCGGACUCGAGUCCCGGAGAGGAAGGUGGAAUUCCUGGUGUAGCGGUGAAAUGCGUAGAUAUCAGGAGGAAUACCGGUGGCGAAGGCGGCCUUCUGGACGGUGACUGACGCUGAGACGCGAAAGCGUGGGGAGCAAACAGGAUUAGAUACCCUGGUAGUCCACGCUGUAAACGAUGAGCACUAGGUGUCGUGGGUAUUGACCCCCGCGGUCGCCGACGCUAACGCAUUAAGUG
rnacentral:rRNA from 1 species